UACGUAGGGCGCAAGCGUUGUCCGGAUUUAUUGGGCGUAAAGAGCUCGUAGGUGGCUUGUCGCGUCUGCCGUGAAAGCCCAUGGCUUAACUGUGGGUCUGCGGUGGAUACGGGCUGGCUUGAGGCAGGUAGGGGAGAAUGGAAUUCCCGGUGUAGCGGUGAAAUGCGCAGAUAUCGGGAGGAACACCGGUGGCGAAGGCGGUUCUCUGGGCCUGUCCUGACGCUGAGGAGCGAAAGCGUGGGGAGCGAACAGGAUUAGAUACCCUGGUAGUCCACGCUGUAAACGUUGGGCGCUAGGUGUGGGGCUCUUAUUGGGGUUCCGUGCCGUAGCUAACGCAUUAAGCGCCCCGCCUGGGGAGUACGGCCGCAAGGCUAAA
rnacentral:rRNA from 1 species